GGAACUUUCGAAAGGGAGGCUAAUACCGCAUGAGUCCUACGGAAGAAAGCAGGGGAUCUUCAGACCUUGCGCUACUAGAUGAGCCGAUGUCGGAUUAGGUAGUUGGUGGGAUAAAGGCUUACCAAGGCGACGAUCUGUAGCUGGUCUGAGAGGAUGAUCCGCCACACUGGGACUGAGACACGGCCCAGACUCCUACGGGAGGCAGCAGUGGGGAAUUUUGGACAAUGGGCGCAAGCCUGAUCCAGCCAUGCCGCGUGUGUGAAGAAGGCCUUCUGGUUGUAAACCGCUUUUGUCCAGAACGAAGAUACCUGGGUUAAUACCCAGGGGUCAUGAACGUUCCUCCCAAAAAAACCCCCGGCAAAUUCUUUGCCACCACCC
rnacentral:rRNA from 1 species